rnacentral:lncRNA from 1 species
ACCAAAGCAACUUUAGAAGAUUCUCCAGAGCAUUCGUCUGACUGCUUCAAACUAGGAAUAGCAAUCUAGAUUUGAAAAAUAACGAAUUUUUUUAGAUUAUUCAAAAACCAGCAUUCAGAAUUCCUAAUAGAAUUAAGUUUCAAAAUCUCCAGGGUACAGCGAUUACAAAUCAGACUGCAAUAGAGUACAGUACAGAACGUUAAUCACUAUGCUUUUUUAGGCUUCUUGGGUUAUAUUUGCUUUGUUGAUAUUUUUUUUUCUUUUGAGACGGGGUCUUGCUGUGUAGUCCUGGCUGGCCGGGUACUCAUGGUAAUCCUCCAUGUUCUGAGAUUCCAGCAUGCGUCACCACACUUCCUUAUGUGGCUUUUUCUCUGCUUACUUCACAUAUGUGAAAACUCGUUGUGGGUCUGUGUGUAGAGCUUCCUGGGACUGGUAAAAAUGUAAACUUUUUAACAAUUCCAACAUGUCUUUUUGUGUGGACAUUUUUUACUGCCUGUCCCAUUCUGGUUGUGCAUUUUAGCACCUGCUGAACUGCUCAGUGCUGUUGCAUUUUGUCUCUGCGUGUCACUCCUGGAUGUGUGUUGCUCACACUGUUGAAAUGAUUUGGAAUUUAUGAAAUUUUCUCAAGGACAUGAUGGCGUGCAUUUAUAUAUAAACAUAUUGAUCUUUUAGUUUUGUGAUAUGCUUAUAUUUUUAAAGAGUAAAAAUGAUCGUACUUUUUCAAAAGUAGGAACCAGUCUUUAUAUGGAGCUGCUCAUUGUGUGUAUUUAAUUUACGUCAUGGAGACUCUGCCAUAAGUCUUAAAAUAGUCUUACUGUUUCUUACAAAUGCUGGUGUUGAAUUCCUUUCUGUGCUAAUUUCAGUGUUUCUCUAGGUGAUGGCAGGAUAUAUGGAUACUAGUAGUGCCUUUAGUUAAGAGGUAAAUGAUAGCUAUCUUUAUUUUCUAUGGUCAUGUGAAUUUCUGUAACUUUGUCUUCUGUUAGUAGAAACUUCUUGCUGGGGCACUGUGGGAAGGUUCAGGCCAUUCGCAGUGUUUGCCUUUGUUGCUCCCAAACUCUGUUUUCAAGGGACGCAUCCAUUGCAGACGCGAGGGAAGUUAGGCUGUGGCGAUGCUAUGGUAACUCCUUCCGAGAGCGUUGAAAUGUGUAGUAUUUGUUACCUCACUUACGUUUGCUGUACCCUCGCUCGCUCCUGUGGGAUAAAUUCACCGUGCUGCACAACCAUGUCCCCUGUCGAAACAGAGGAAGGAGUUGUUCUGACAAUUCCAUGAGAAAUUUGAGUAAACACAGUGCCAUUGAACCAGUGAGGAUUCUCCAAAAACUGUGCACAACAAGCUAGUAAUUCUGCAUGGAAAGCAGAGUAAGAAGAGCCUUUGCCUUCCUUUUAAAAAUAGAGAGCAAAUGCUAAGAGUCAAGCUUGCAAAGAAAAGGAGAGGAUUCCGUCCUGGCAGCUAGGGAGCAGCAGCAGAGCUCUGAGGACACUGGAUCUCCUGACACGUGUCUGCGGGGGAGGAGCACAUCUCUGAAACAUACAUGGGCUGUGGCAACCAUAUAGCCAGUUGGGAUGAGUCAGUCUGAAACCACCCUCGAGCUUUUAAAAUAUGUUCAUUUGGCUAUUCAAUCUAAGAACCUUUGGAAAUGGUGGGCUGUGGUCCCAGAAGGAACACUUCCCCCAGAUUGUCUGUUUCCGUGUAACUAGAAAAGUUAUUUAUUUGAUUAAGCCUUCCUCUCCUCACUGGAAAUGAUUGUUAAUAUCUUUGUUCAACAAGUCUUUCUUUGUUAAGCAAAUUAAGUUCAUUAGAAGAUGGGUCCUUUCAGCUGUGUCUCCCUUUCUCAAUUUUGUACAUUUCCUGGCCAAUGGAUUCAUUGACCUAAGAACUUCAUAGACUAAAGGCUUAAAUAUCUAAACCUCAGUUGUGUCAAAACUUUAUUCCCUCUAAACCUCAGUUUAAAUUACAGAUUUUCCUUCUCUGGGCUCAGUAGUGCACGUCUCCAGUUCCAGUGCUCUGGAAGCUGUCUAUAGCAGGAGGUUCCGUGAAUUCAAGGCAGCCAGGCAGUAAUGAAGUCUGAAGGUACUUCCCGCCUUCUGUGAUGAGCAGAAGGAAGGUGUUGCUGCCUCUCAACGUGUACUCCAUUCCCACACCGAGAGUCCCGUGCUCACUUUGUGACUAGAGAGUUCUGGAGUCUUGGCUCUAGGGGAGGAGGCGAAGAGACAGGUGAGAUGCAGUGCUGUUUGCAGAGUGUAAGGUACUGACUUAGCUUAAGGAAAUGAACUAGAGAGUCAUCUUAUUUGCUCUCUUUUUACGUAACUAUUCUUUUUGAAUCAACAAAUACUUUUCAUAGUGGUUAUCUAGUUCCCACCUUAUAUAGCAGAACUCCACAGAAGGUAGCGCUCACACAGAUCUUCUCGGAUAAAUGUUCUUUGUGCUAUCUUGCUUCCAGAUUUUUCUUUUAUUAUAGAAGAGAAUCUGUUAGAAAUUACUGAUAGCUGGGCAUGGUGGAGCACACCUUUGAUCCCAGCACUCGGGAGGCAGAGGCAGGUGGAUUUCUGAGUUCAAGGCCAGCCUGGUCUACAAAGUGAGUUCAAGGACAGCCAGAGCUACACAGAGAAACCCUGUCUCAAAAAAAAAAAAAAAUUACUAUGAAAGGCAUCCGGUAUCUUUUUUUUUUUUUAAAUCGAUCACUAAAAAAAAAAAAAAAAGAAAAGAAUCAUUAUUUUUUAGAAAUAGUGACAGGUCUCAAAGUGCAGCUGUUUGUGUGCAUUUUAUGUUGUGGCAGUGUUGUUGUUUUCAACAAAGUGCAGACACCCCCUUUGCUAGAAGAAAACAAAGCUUAAGUUUUUAGUGUUUUUCAGACUGACUUAAUUUAUAUUCCUGUUAGACAUCCUCGCUUUGUGCCAGGGCACAGUAAGAAACAGCUGGAGAGGGGCAGCAGCUCUCCAGCAAUGGGGAAAAGCAGACAGGCAGACCCAUGUUUACCAUCACACAUCAUGUGCGUUAGCUCAUACAGCACAUGUCCUUCUUUCUGAGAGAGGAUAGAAGAAAAUAGUUGAAGAAUGUUGAGAAUCUGUGUGUCUGCCUUCGGGUGGAAACUCCCUGCUCUGCAGAGACUGAGCUCAAGUACAGCUGGUGAAGGAGACUGCUUUCCAGGUUUCAUUUUGGCACAGUGAAACCUGUAGAUGUGAAUUCCCACCACCACCACCACCACCCCUCACCCCCAGUUGGCUCAUUACUGCCAAUGUUGCAAAAGGUAAUGGUCUGUGUAACUGCAUUAGAAGCCAAGUACUUGUUCUGUUUCUCUCGAAAUCAUGGGGGUGAAAAUUUUCUCUGAAGCCUGCUGUAAGUCCUUAUAACUCUUGUUCACUCGGGCUUUCUCUUUCUUCCCCCUUCUCCAAUUCCUCUUGCUAUCUAGCCCUUCAGUCCUCCUGCCUCCACCUCCUGGGUUUUGAGGUUACAGAGUUUGGCCCCAGGCCCAGUGUCCUUUAAGCUCAUUAAUCCUGCCUUUCCUUUACAGUUAUGGGUGUGUCUAUCUAUGUGUGUGUGUGUGUGUGUGUGUUGGACUUUUGCUUUGUUUUUCAAAGCAGGGUUUCUCUGUAUAGCCCUGGCUGUCCUGGAACUCACUCUGUAGACCAGGCUGGCCUCGAACUCUCAGAGAUCCUCCUGCUUCUGCCUCCCAAGUGUUAGAAUUAAAGGUGUGUGCCACCACUGCCCAGCUGGAUUUUAUAUUUUAGCUUUUUUUCUUGGUCUCAAGAAUCUUACAUUUUCUUUUGCUGCACAAAUUACUUUGAGUGUUUUCACUUGACUCUGAGUAAUGGGUGGUAUGCUGUAUAUCAAAGUGUUUUAACAUUUGCUUCAUUUUAAUAGUGUGAUUUCAUAUAUAUCUAUCUUCCUUGAUUCUUUUGUCAUGUAACUAUUUUGUAACUAACUGGAAUUUCUGAUUAGAUCUUAGACAGAGCAGUAUUUUAUUAAAAAUUCCAAAGGGAAGACUUCUUUGUGCUCAUUUUGUAAUUUUUAUUUUAAAUAUCUUUACAUUGUAUGUCUAUUGCAUUUAAAGCUUUUAAACUU